rnacentral:ncRNA from 1 species
AGAUAUCGGGAGAGCCCGCAAGGCACCGAAGGGGCGAAACUCUCAGGUAAAAGGACCGGUAU